AACGCACCUUGCGCUCCUUGGUAUUCCGAGGAGCAUGCCUGUUUGAGUGUCAUUAAAUUCUCAACCUCACCAACUUUGUGUUGUGUGAAGGCUUGGAUGUGGGGGUUUGCAGGUCCGCGUACGCGGUCUGCUCCUCUGAAAUGUAUUAGUGGGUUUGGUCCCCUAAUCUAUUGGUGUGAUAAUUAUCUACGCCGUGGAUUGGGAAGGCCGUCUAUAGACUCGCUUCUAACCGUCCUCACGGACAAUCAUUGACAAUUUUGACCUCAAAUCAGGUAAGACUACCCGCUGAACUUAA
rnacentral:misc_RNA from 1 species